UACGUAGGGUGCAAGCGUUGUCCGGAAUUAUUGGGCGUAAAGAGCUUGUAGGCGGUUUGUCGCGUCUGCUGUGAAAUUUCGGGGCUCAACCCCGAACUUGCAGUGGGUACGGGCAGACUAGAGUGUGGUAGGGGAGACUGGAAUUCCUGGUGUAGCGGUGAAAUGCGUAGAUAUCAAGAGGAACACCUGAGGUGAAGACGGGUUGCUGGGCCGACACUGACGCUGGAGUGCGCGAAAGCCAGGGGAGCAAACGGG
rnacentral:rRNA from 1 species